rnacentral:rRNA from 1 species
AUUGAACGCUGGCGGCAUGCUUUACACAUGCAAGUCGAACGGCAGCGGGGAGGAGCUUGCUUCUCUGCCGGCGAGUGGCGAACGGGUGAGUAAUACAUCGGAACGUGUCGAGAAGAGGGGGAUAACCACCCGAAAGGGUGGCUAAUACCGCAUAAAUUCUGAGGAAGAAAGCUGGGGACCUAGGAAUAGGCCUAGCGCUUUUUGAGCGGCCGAUGUCGGAUUAGCUAGUUGGUGAGGUAAAGGCUCACCAAGGCGAAGAUCUGUAGCGGGUCUGAGAGGAUGAUCCGCCACACUGGAACUGAGACACGGCCCAGACUCCUACGGGAGGCAGCAGUGGGGAAUUUUGGACAAUGGGGGCAACCCUGAUCCAGCCAUGCCGCGUGUAUGAAGAAGGCCUUAGGGUUGUAAAGUACUGUUGUUAGGGAAGAAAAGUCAGCUGUGAAUAAUGGCUGAUACUGACGGUACCUAAAGAAUAAGCACCGGCUAACUACGUG